rnacentral:misc_RNA from 1 species
GAAUUGGAGCACACCCUUCAGGACAAAGUUUUAAUGUCUACAAUUCUACAAGAUGGACUGCCAUAGGCAUCUUUCCAGAACUUCAUGUGCAGGCAAUUUAUCAUGAAAUCAGAAAUCUAUUGUGUAAAUAAAUAUCUGUGUCAGAAGUGAUUUAUUUUUUUAUUCUUUACAUAAUUCACGUUUUAAAACUCAUUUUUAUAAUUUAAACGAAGAGCAAAUUUUAUGUGUGUGAUUUUAUUGUAUCAAGAUGAAGUAGAUUUGGAAUGGUACAUAGAAUUUUAUACAUGACACUGCAGAAAGUGUUGUCUGGUCAGUUUUUUUGCAAGCAAACUAAGUCACAAUUUUUGUUAUUUUACCAAAUAUUUUUGAAUAAAUGGAAGCAUGUUAUAGACCAUAGCGAAUUGCAUGUAUUUAUUUUUAGUGUGUUGAGAAAGUUAAGAUUGGAAAGGUAUGUUAUUAAAGUAUUGAAUGUGUAUAAAAUGUAUUUAUUUUUGUGUAAAAAAAAGAAGUGGAUAUAAACAAUAACUGGUAUGUUUUGACAUUAUUACAAGCUGUAUGGUCUAAUUUUACAAUAUGUUUUUGAAAGAUAUUUUAGAACACAUAUUUACAAAGUUUUACACAGAUACAAAUUUUGUCGCAGUAGAAGGAACCCCAAAAAGCCAAUUUAAAUUUCUUGGUUGAUCCACAAUAAAAAUGUAGAAGUUCCAUGCAUUAAUACUCUGCUUGAGCAAUUAUUGAAAAAUUCAAAAGUUACUGGAAUUAUUUUUCUAAAAUGGAUAUGUGGGUUGACUUAUUUGUAUGGCUAAACAUAAUCAAAACCUACCAUACAGCUGUAGCAUUUUUGCAAUUUGAUUGCAAUUUGUUGAAUGUAGAUUUCAAACAUAUAUUUUUGUUAUUUUGCUUUUCAUUUUUUUUGAAAACAUGUAUUGUCUUUUAUUUGAAUUGAGUUUGUAUGUUGCCCUUAUUGUGAUUGUACAUGACAUUUGUCUUCAGUAUACCGUAUAUCAUUUUAUACAAACUACUACAAUGUUAAGGUCUUUGACUUCCUAGUACACUCUGGUUUCUAUAAAAGCUAUCACCAUAACUAAAGGUUUCUGCAUAAAAUAUUUUUAACAUGCCAUCUGUUUUGUCACUGAUUAAGAUAUAUGAUGAUUGAAUAAAAUGUUGAUUUG